rnacentral:rRNA from 1 species
CACGUAGGGGGCAAGCGUUGUCCGGAUUUAUUGGGCGUAAAGAGCUCGUAGGCGGUUCGGUAAGUCGGGUGUGAAAACUCUGGCUCAACUCAGAGACGCCACCUGAUACUGCCGUGACUGGAGUCUGGUAGGGGGAGUGUGGAACUCCUGGUGUAGCGGUGAAAUGCGUAGAUAUCGGGAGGAACACCAGUGGCGAAGGCGACUACCUGGCCUGUUCUUGACGCUGAGGCGGCGAAAAGCUAGGGGAGCAAACGGG